GCAUAUCAAUAAGCGGAGGAAAGAACACAGGGAUACUCAGUACGGCGAGUGAAGCGGUAAAAGCUCAAAUUUGAAAUCUGGCUYUUUCAGAGUCCGAGUUGUAAUUUGUAGAAGAUGCUUCGGGUGUGGUUCCGGUCUAAGUUCCUUGGAACAGGACGUCAUAGAGGGUGAGAAUCCCGUAUGUGACUGGAUACCUAUGCUCAUGUGAAGCUCUUUCGACGAGUCGAGUUGUUUGGGAAUGCAGCUCAAAAUGGGUGGUAUAUUUCAUCUAAAGCUAAAUAUUGGCCAGAGACCGAUAGCGCACAAGUAGAGUGAUCGAAAGAKGAAAAGCACUUUGGAAAGAGAGUUAAACAGUACGUGAAAUUGUUGAAAGGGAAGCGCUUGCAAUCAGACUUGCACUUGGUGUUCAUCAGGGUUUCGUGCCCUGUGUACUUCAUCAAGUUCAGGCCAGCAUCAGUUUGAGUGGUUAGAUAAAGGCUUGGAGAAUGUGGCCCUCUUCGGGGGGUGUUAUAGCUCCAGGUGCAAUGUAGCCUACUUGGACUGAGGACCGCGCUUCGGCUAGGAUGCUGGCGUAAUGGUUGUAAGCGACCCGUCUUGAAACACGGACCAAGGAGUGUACCUAAUAUGCGAGUGUUUGGGUGUUAAACCCAUACGCGUAAUGAAAGUGAACGCUGGUGAGAACCCUUAAGGGUGCAUCAUCGACCRAUCUUGAUGUCUUCGGAUGGAUUUGAGUAAGAGCAUAUUGGGUGCGACCCGAAAGAUGAUGAUCUAUACGUGAAUAGGGUGAAGCCAGAGGAAACUCUGGUGGAGGCUCGCAGCGGUUCUGACGUGCAAAUCGAUCGUCAAAUUUGCGUAUAGGGGCGAAAGACUAWUCGAAUCAUUAAGGAAUAGACCAAGCUCUAGGUGAUWGAGAAAMCCCUUUGGGGUAUUAGUCCUGGAGACAGGGCGACAUUGUCAAAUUGUUCGGGGACCACUGUUAAAUUAUAUGCUAC
rnacentral:rRNA from 1 species